ensembl:ncRNA C44E12.5 ncRNA
UCUCAACUAUCUGGCAGAAAAACGCUGCACUUCGUCUUGUCGCAUUGAUAAAUGAUACACAAUAUCAUAUCAAUCAUGACGACAAGAUGAGCUUUCAGCCACUAACACUGCGGUUCAACAUGACAAAGCAAAUCUAGUAGGAA